GUCACUGAAUCCUGCCCAGUGCGGGUAUCUGAACACCUAGUACAAUAGGACGAAGGACCCGUCAACGGCGGGGGUAACUAUGACCCUCUUAAGGUAGCGUAGUACCUUGCCGCUUCAGUAGCGGCUUGCAUGAAUGGAUUAACCAGAGCCUCGCUGUCCCAACGCUGGGCCCGGUGAACUGUACGUUCCAGUGCGGAGUCUGGAGACCCCCAAGGGGAAGCGAAGACCCUAUGGAGCUUUACUGCAGGCUGUCGCUGAGACGUGGCCGCUAGUGUGCAGGAUAGGUAGGAGCCGUGACGCAGGCACCCGCGCCAGCGGGCCGCCGAGGCAACACUGAAAUACUACCCACUAGUGGCUGCGACUCUCACUCCUGGCGGAGGACACCGGUAGCCGGGCAGUUUGACUGGGGCGGUACGCGCUCGAAAAGAUAUCGAGCGCGCCCUAAGACCAUCUCAUCCGGGUCGGAGACCCGGAGAAGAGCGCAAGAGCAUAAGAUGGUUUGACAGUGUUCUUCCCAACGAGGAACGCUGACGUGAAAGCGUGGUCUAGCGAACUCAUUAGCCCGCCCGAUGCGGGCAAUGAAUGACAGAAAAGCUACCCUAGGGAUAACAGAGUCGUCACUCGCAAGAGCACAUAUCGACCGAGUGGCUUGCUACCUCGAUGUCGGUUCCCUCCAUCCUGCCCGUGCAGAAGCGGGCAAGGGUGAGGUUGUUCGCCUAUUAAAGGAGGUCGUGAGCUGGGUUUAGACCGUCGUGAGACAGGUCGGCUGCUAUCUAUUGGGGGUGUCAUGGUACCUGACGGGAACGCCCGUAUAGUACGAGAGGAACUACGGGUGGUCGCCACUGGUGUACCGGUUGUCCGAGAGGGCAGUUGCCGGGCAGCCACGCGACACGGGGUAAGAGCUGAACGCAUCUAAGCUCGAAACCCACCUGGAAAAGAGGUACCGCCGAGGCUACUCGUAGAAGACGAGAUCGAUAGACUCGGGGUGUACGCGUCGAGGCAACGAGACGUUCAGCCCGCGAGUACUAAUAGCCGAAGCCACCAUUCA
rnacentral:rRNA from 1 species